GACAGAGGGUGCAAACGUUUUUCGGAAUCACUGGGCGUAAAGCGCGUGUAGGCGGCUUCUCAAGUCGGGUGUGAAAUCCCAGGGCUCAACCCUGGAAGUGCAUUCGAAACUGGGUAGCUAGAGUACUGGAGAGGAAGGUGGAAUGCUUGGUGUAGAGGUGAAAUUCGUAGAUAUCAAGCGGAACACCGGUGGCGAAGGCGGCCUUCUGGACAGAUACUGACGCUGAGACGCGAAAGCGUGGGGAGCAAACAGG
rnacentral:rRNA from 1 species